rnacentral:rRNA from 1 species
CAGCAGCCGCGGUAAUACAGAGGGUGCAAGCGUUAAUCGGAAUUACUGGGCGUAAAGCGCGCGUAGGUGGUUUGUUAAGUUGGAUGUGAAAGCCCCGGGCUCAACCUGGGAACUGCAUCCAAAACUGGCAAGCUAGAGUACGGUAGAGGGUGGUGGAAUUUCCUGUGUAGCGGUGAAAUGCGUAGAUAUAGGAAGGAACACCAGUGGCGAAGGCGACCACCUGGACUGAUACUGACACUGAGGUGCGAAAGCGUGGGGAGCAAACAGGAUUAGAACCCGAGUAGUCCCUGUCUCUUAUACA